CUUUUCUCUCUCGCAACCACUGCUGCUCACGCUUGCGUAUAAAGAGCGAUUAGAUUUUAUUUAGAGGAGAGGGAGGUCCAUAGCUGGCCACACGGAGCCAUUCUUUCGAGUGUGAGCCUUACGUGCGAAGGAGUGUCGUCAGUCGCGGUUGCGCGAAAUGUUCUCUUCUGCGGCGUCCUCAUCUGACGUGAAUGUCUCUCCACCAGAUCGGUGCUGUAUAGCCCAAAGCGAAAACCCCCGACAGCGUGUUUCGUCGCAGUUAACCAACAACCAUGGAUCCUUUUUGGCCGUCAUGGGUCCCGAUGGAGUGGCAGACCUGUUGGUGUGGUUGCGAAGAGGAAUACACCUGAGUGGACGUGUGGCAUGCAACCACGUGGUCGA